UUGGUGGAGCGAUUUGUCUGG
rnacentral:siRNA from 1 species